GAUCCGAUGAUGAGACGAAAACACUCAAGUGUUUAUGUGCAGUGGAUUUUACCGUGAGCAUUAUAAAUAACGACUUCUCCUUCCACUGAGUUC
rfam:Beta vulgaris subsp. vulgaris Bvchr3.sca003.con0109.1, whole genome shotgun sequence.